AUUUUACACAAAAAUUCAACUCAAAAUGGACGGUAGAUAUAAACAUAAAAUAUAAAAUGUGGAACUUCUAGGAAAACCUCGGAAACUGUCUUUGCUUGUCUAGAUUGGAGACUUCAGAUGUUAUAUCAAAAGAUUUCUACAGGGGGAAAAAUUGGUAAAUUGCACUUCAUCAGAGUUAAGCACUUUGCCUAUGAAAGACUGCUAAGGGAAUGAAAAGGCAGGGCUCUGACUGGAAGAAAUAUUUGCAAAUCACAGAUCUGACAAAAGCCUUUAGCAAUUAGACUAUAUAAAGAGCUGUACAAACUCAGCUGUAAAGAAACCCGGUUACAAAGGAACAAAGAUUUGAGCAGAUACUCAACCAGGGAAGACAUAAGUGACAUCACAUGGGAAGAUCCUGGAUGCUGUUCGCUGCUAGGGAUAUACAAACUAAAGGACUGUGCGAGACCACACACUUUAUUUAUAAGGAUGAAGAGGGGGAGAGAGAAUUAUAGCACGCAUGUAGGUGGGCUGUGAUUUGAAAAAGCAAACAAACAACCUGGAAUGAAUCGGAGCGCUGGAUCCCCAGAUGCUCUGUGGAAAGGCAAGUGGUAUGGCUUGGGAAGUAGCGUGCUCUCAUAUACAUGGUCUGACCCGGCAAUCUACUGUAGGAUUUACCCCCAAAGAGAAGCAAAUGCCCACAGAGAUUGACUCAUUAACGUUCAUGCUAGCUUUAUUUGCAAAAGCCCCCAGAACAUUAAUGCAUAUCCACAAAUGGACAGUGGAUACACCCUGACACAAUCAUAGAAUGGGAUCCAUCAGUUAAUAGCCAGAAAGAACAGAUGUUGACAGGGUAACACAAGUGAACACAGACCUCCUUGAAUAGGAACUUGGGUACCGACGCCAAGGUCUGGAUGCCAGCCAUGUGCCUGUCUGGAGCAGCCAGGGUCAUCAGGCCUGGAAGGACUGGCCAGCCCUGAGGCGUCUGUGUCGGUUGUGAUUGUUAUGAAUUUUACUCCUGGAAGAUGCUUUCUUGUACUGUCUUAAGUUCACAGACCUGCACUCUGGCAUGUGGGGAUCUCAUAGUGCAUCUCCUAAGUCUUUGGACCCAUUUCUAAUGUUCCCUAAGAGUGUAGUCCCCGGAUGGAAUUCUCAGGUCAAAGAGGUUGGACAGUGAUGGGCUGCUUUGGAAAUAUAUCUUUGCAGAGUUUAUGUCGUUACAUGUUUUGUCCAGCAGUCUAGACCUCACCUGGACUGCCCUGCUCUAAAACCUUAGCCUCAGAUCCAGCUGGCCCAUGUGUAACAGGGAAUGGGUAGGCUAAGGAAACAACUCAGACGUUUCUAAUAACAGGGGAACUGUGUGUCCUGUCAAGCCACAGCUCACACCCAGCAACCCUAGAGAAAGAACCCUUAGUGUGUGGACACAGGCCAUGCCUAGCAGGUUAGCUUUUGUAAGUUGUUUUGUUGGGGGAUGGGGCGUUUUCUGUUUUGUUUUGGUUUGGUUUUGGUAAUCAUGGAUGAGACUUAAUUAAAUGCACCGAAUCC
rnacentral:lncRNA from 1 species